rnacentral:rRNA from 1 species
AACGAACGCUGGCGGCAUGCCUAACACAUGCAAGUCGAACGAGACCUUCGGGUCUAGUGGCGCACGGGUGCGUAACGCGUGGGAACCUGCCCUUAGGUUCGGAAUAACUCCCCGAAAGGGGUGCUAAUACCGGAUAAUGUCUUCGGACCAAAGAUUUAUCGCCUUUGGAUGGGCCCGCGUUGGAUUAGCUAGUUGGUAGGGUAAAAGCCUACCAAGGCGACGAUCCAUAGCUGGUCUGAGAGGAUGAUCAGCCGCACUGGGACUGAGACACGGCCCAGACUCCUACGGGAGGCAGCAGUGGGGAAUAUUAGACAAUGGGCGAAAGCCUGAUCCAGCAAUGCCGCGUGAGUGAUGAAGGCCUUAGGGUUGUAAAGCUCUUUUACCCGGGAUGAUAAUGACAGUACCGGGAGAAUAAGCUCCGGCUAACUCCGUG